AUAGCUCCGUAACACGUGGCCAAACUACCCUUCGGAGACGCAUAACCUCGGGAAACUGAGGCUAAUUCGUCACACGGCUUUCAACCUGGAAUGAUGAAAGCCCCAAACGCUCCGGCGCCGAAGGAUGUGGCUGCGGCCGAUUAGGUAGACGGUGGGGUAACGGCCCACCGUGCCGAUAAUCGGUACGGGUUGUGAGAGCAAGAACCCGGAGACGGAAUCUGAGACAAGAUUCCGGGCCCUACGGGGCGCAGCAGGCGCGAAACCUUUACACUGCACGACAGUGCGAUAAGGGGACCCUGAGUGCACAGGCAUAGUGCCUGUGCUUUUCUCGACCGUAGGGAGGUCGAGGAACAAGAGCUGGGCAAGACCGGUGCCAGCCGCCGCGGUAAUACCGGCAGCUCGAGUGAUGGCCGAUCUUAUUGGGCCUAAAGCGUCCGUAGCUGGCCAGGCAAGUCCGUCGGGAAAUCCACGCGCUCAACGCGUGGGCGACCGGCGGAAACUGCCCGGCUUGGGACCGGAAGGCGCGACGGGUACGUCCAGGGUAGGAGUGAAAUCCCGUAAUCCUGAACGGACCGCCGAUGGGGAAACCACGUCGCGAAAACGGAUCCGACAGUGAGGGACGAAAGCUAGGGUCUCGAACCGGAUUAGAUACCCGGGUAGUCCUAGCCGUAAACGAUGCCUGUUAGGUGUGGCCCCCGCUACGAGCGGGUGCUGUGCCGUAGGGAAGCCGCUAAACAGGCC
rnacentral:rRNA from 1 species